rnacentral:RNase_P_RNA from 2 species
CUUGCAAGCCGGCUUAUCGCACUGACGGUUUUCCGUUAGUGAGGAAAGUCCGGGCAACAUCGGGCAACGUGCCGUACGAACAGUGCGGGCAUUCCGACGGCAACGUCAGGAUGACAGACAGUACCACAGAAAACAUGUAGCCCCGGCUGAUUCGUUCAGGCGGAGUGAUAGUGAAAAGGCGGAGUAAGAGCCCACCGGCCUGCCAGUAAUGAAAGGCGCAUGGUAAACCUCGCGGGUUGAAAGGUCAAAUAGGCCCUGAUAAAAUGAACGGCCCGUUCUUACCUGUUAAACCAGGUAUCGGGGUGGGUAGACCGAUUGAUCCUGACGGCAACGUCAGGACCAGAUAAAUGAUAAGCUCCCGGCGGAAACGUCAGGAACAGAACCCGGCUUACAGGCUUGCAUCUUUU